rnacentral:rRNA from 1 species
UAUUAUGAGAGUUUGAUCCUGGCUCAGGACGAACGCUGGCGGCGUGCCUAAUACAUGCAAGUCGAACGCUUCUUUCCUCCCGAGUGCUUGCACUCAAUUGGAAAGAGGAGUGGCGGACGGGUGAGUAACACGUGGGUAACCUACCCAUCAGAGGGGGAUAACACUUGGAAACAGGUGCUAAUACCGCAUAACAGUUUAUGCCGCAUGGCAUAAGAGUGAAAGGCGCUUUCGGGUGUCGCUGAUGGAUGGACCCGCGGUGCAUUAGCUAGUUGGUGAGGUAACGGCUCACCAAGGCCACGAUGCAUAGCCGACCUGAGAGGGUGAUCGGCCACACUGGGACUGAGACACGGCCCAGACUCCUACGGGAGGCAGCAGUAGGGAAUCUUCGGCAAUGGACGAAAGUCUGACCGAGCAACGCCGCGUGAGUGAAGAAGGUUUUCGGAUCGUAAAACUCUGUUGUUAGAGAAGAACAAGGACGUUAGUAACUGAACGUCCCCUGACGGUAUCUAACCAGAAAGCCACGGCUAACUACGUGCCAGCAGCCGCGGUAAUACGUAGGUGGCAAGCGUUGUCCGGAUUUAUUGGGCGUAAAGCGAGCGCAGGCGGUUUCUUAAGUCUGAUGUGAAAGCCCCCGGCUCAACCGGGGAGGGUCAUUGGAAACUGGGAGACUUGAGUGCAGAAGAGGAGAGUGGAAUUCCAUGUGUAGCGGUGAAAUGCGUAGAUAUAUGGAGGAACACCAGUGGCGAAGGCGGCUCUCUGGUCUGUAACUGACGCUGAGGCUCGAAAGCGUGGGGAGCAAACAGGAUAGGUUGAAACUCAAAGGAAUUGACGGGGGCCCGCACAAGCGGUGGAGCAUGUGGUUUAAUUCGAAGCAACGCGAAGAACCUUACCAGGUCUUGACAUCCUUUGACCACUCUAGAGAUAGAGCUUUCCCUUCGGGGACAAAGUGACAGGUGGUGCAUGGUUGUCGUCAGCUCGUGUCGUGAGAUGUUGGGUUAAGUCCCGCAACGAGCGCAACCCUUAUUGUUAGUUGCCAUCAUUUAGUUGGGCACUCUAGCGAGACUGCCGGUGACAAACCGGAGGAAGGUGGGGAUGACGUCAAAUCAUCAUGCCCCUUAUGACCUGGGCUACACACGUGCUACAAUGGGAAGUACAACGAGUCGCUAGACCGCGAGGUCAUGCAAAUCUCUUAAAGCUUCUCUCAGUUCGGAUUGCAGGCUGCAACUCGCCUGCAUGAAGCCGGAAUCGCUAGUAAUCGCGGAUCAGCACGCCGCGGUGAAUACGUUCCCGGGCCUUGUACACACCGCCCGUCACACCACGAGAGUUUGUAACACCCGAA